ACGGUGGAGGGCUUGGUUUUGGUUGUUUCCGACCGAUUGACCCUUCGUUUCCUCCUUCUUGAGCUAUUCACAUAACGAUCCGUGGCUCCUCAAAGUGGAUCGGAUUGGGCGAUACCUUCUGGAGACAACCGAUUGAGGGAGGUGUUCUUGAGCUGCCGGGAAGAGGCUAGAAGGAUGGUUAAUUGAUCAGUGAUCUCCCUGCUUGACCUCCUGUUGUGAUCCGAUUGAUUCCAAUGAGGUUGAGUGCUGUGGAUCAACAAGCACGACUGUGAGCUGAAGCGUAUCCAAUUUGGAUUUUCCAGCUCAAAAUAUCAGUAGAUUUGUUGUGGUAGUGCCUUAACAGGAUUUUAGACUUCUCCAUUCAGGAAAAGACAAGUCUGGUAGAUACAAAAAUUACAAGAUUGCAAGUUUGGAUUGAAGGUCACAAGAAAAAAAAUGGGGAGCCUAGUACUCAAGCUGUUGGAGAGAAAAUAGUAAGCAUGUCC